AUGCAUCGCACUGUUUCACAACUAGAGUUGCCAUAUCUUGGUGGACCAUGUCCUGGUAUCAUUUAUCAUUCCCCUGAGUUUAUGGGCCUUAUAAUGAAUGCUAUUUGCUGCUUGCUUGCAUUCAGAAAUGAGAAUAAAUUAUUUACUGUAUUGGAUGCUCCUCUCCUCUCUUUGUUCGGUUCUGUCUUUUUUUUCACUUCCGGUUUGACAUAUUGGAAGAGCAAAUUAUGUUAUGUUCCCGGCCCAUAUCUUUCUGCUAUCUUGCUGCUGCAAGACCUGGGAGUUUUAAUGGAUGAUAUAAUUUUGACAAUUUUGCUGCAAUAUCUUCAGUUUCUCUAUUGA
rnacentral:rRNA from 1 species